UACGGAGGAUGCAAGCGUUAUCCGGAAUGAUUGGGCCUAAAGCGUCCGCAGGUGGCUGUGUAAGUCUGCUGUCAAAGAGCGAAGCUCAACUUCGUAAAGGCAGUGGAAACUACACGGCUAGAGUGCGUUCGGGGCAGAGGGAAUUCCUGGUGUAGCGGUGAAAUGCGUAGAGAUCAGGAAGAACACCAGUGGCGAAGGCGCUCUGCUAGGCCGCAACUGACACUGAGGGACGAAAGCUAGGGGAGCGAAUGGG
rnacentral:rRNA from 1 species